ensembl:snoRNA small nucleolar RNA SNORA2/SNORA34 family
UUGGCCCUGAAUCAAGGCCGGCAGCUUCUUAAUGCUGUUGGUUUCAAGCAGAAGUCUAAAGAGAUGUCAUUCUAUGGUCUGUGGACCAUUUCAGAACUUGGGCAGUGAAAUGGUCAAUUCAUUAGAAAGAAACGGCU